rnacentral:rRNA from 1 species
CGGCGUGCUUACACAUGCAAGUCGUACGAGAACUCUUCUGCUUGCAGAAGAUAGUAAAGUGGCGCACGGGUGAGUAACGCGUGGGUAAUCUACCUCUGAAUCGGGGAUAACCCGCCGAAAGGCGAGCUAAUACCGGAUAAUAUCUUUAAAACUUAGGUUUUUAAGAUCAAAGGUGGUCUCUACAUGUAAGCUACUGUUUGGAGAUGAGCCCGCGUACCAUUAGCUUGUUGGUAGGGUAAUGGCCUACCAAGGCCGCGAUGGUUAGCUGGUCUGAGAGGAUGAUCAGCCACACUGGAACUGACACACGGUCCAGACUCCUACGGGAGGCAGCAGUGAGGAAUUUUGCGCAAUGGGGGAAACCCUGACGCAGCAACGCCGCGUGAGUGAUGAAGGCUUUCGGGUCGUAAAGCUCUGUCAAGUGGGAAGAGCCUGCUCGAUGUUAAUACCAUCUAGCACUGACGGUACCACUAAAGGAAGCACCGGCUAACUCCGUGCCAGCAGCCGCGGUAAUACGGGGGGUGCAAGCGUUAUUCGGAUUUAUUGGGCGUAAAGGGCGCGUAGGCGGUCUCUAAAGUCAGAUGUGAAAGCCCGGGGCUUAACCCCGGAAGUGCAUUUGAAACUUAGGGACUUGAGUAUGGGAGAGGGAAGUGGAAUUCCUGCUGUAGCGGUGAAAUGCGUAAAUAUCAGGAGGAACACCAGUUGGCGAAGGCGACUUCCUGGAAC